AGAAUUAAGAGCUUGGGAGACACUCAGGAGGAAGCAGAGGGGAGAGGAAAUGCUGCCUUUGGAGCCAACAACUAUGGAUGUGUUGUCCAGAGGAAACCUGUGGAUCAAGCAAGGAUGCCUACAAAAAGACUAAUUUCCCAGUAAUCCAACUUAUUCCAAACACUCCACCCACAAGGCAGCAAGUGAGGGAAAAAAUAGAAUUCUGCUUGAAGAUGCUUUUCAGUCAACUCUCUCUAGCUCAUAAACCAGCGCUUCUCCAAGAGUGUUAUGAACCCUGCACCCUCCUUGUCAAUGCUGAUUUCUGCACCCAUCUCCCAGUUACCAUCUGGAAUAGAAUCCAGUAG
ensembl:lincRNA